UACGAGGGGGGCAAAUGUUGUUCGGAAUCACUGGGCGUAAAGGGAGCGUAGGCGGGUUCUUAAGUUAGGUGUUUAAUCCCGGGGCCCAACCCCGGACCGGCACUUAAAACUGGGAAUCUUGAAUAGUGGAGAGGUCAGUGGAAUUGGGGGUGUAGCGGUGGGAUGCGUAGAGAUCCCCAAGAACACCAGUUGCGAAGGCGGCUGACUGGACACAUAUUGACGCUGAGGCUCGAAAGCAUGGGGAGCAAACAGG
rnacentral:rRNA from 1 species